rnacentral:lncRNA from 1 species
GAAAAACAUUAAAAACUCGAGAUGAAAGCAUGUCAUUCUAAAACAUAUUUGGCUCAAAGAAAAAGAUGCUUCCCAGGACUACAAAAGAUCUUUCUUUAAUGAAACUUUAAUUAAACUUUGCUUUAAUUUGGAUCACAAUGAAGAAAAUAAGGGACUUUUCAUCUUGCCCCAAGUGGAAAGUGCCAGUGUCUCCCAUGAAUAAAACGCUGGCACGUAAAUCUAUUGCAAUCUUUUAGCAAUUUUAGCCCCAGUGAUAACUAACCAUAACAACAAACCAAAUGUUUCCAAUUUCAUCUACAAAAACAUGUAUCUUUAUGAUGGAUGCAAGUACCAGAACUGUAUUUUUGCAUGCCCUCUAACAUCACAAGAGCAAUGGUAAUUAGAGAGAACAAAGGUAGGGAAAUAAAAUUUGGAGGAAGGUACAGCUCCAUCAUUUAGGGCUCAUGAAAUAAUUGGCAUUAUUUAGCCACUCUCAAGAGCAGUAACCAAAUGGCAAUAUACAAUUAGCAUGAACUAAUACCAUGCAGAACAGUUCUUAGGUGAUAAAUAUUUUAAGUUAUCUAUGAAGAACAUUUAUUUUUAAAAUGUCAACUUCAGAAAUGACUCAAGCCCAGCAUUUGAAUGUGUCAUGUAUAGAAUCUGGUCUGUUUCAUACAGAGUGUUCUAGCUGUCACCCCUGGUGUCUGUUACCUCUCCACUGAGAAGAAUUCCGUAUGUCUCAGAUCUGCCCUUGACCACAGACACUUGCCAAGAAGAGGCAGGACAUGUGUCCUCACUUGUACAGAGUUGAAGAAAGUUCAUCAUUUUUUUUUUUGAAAAAGUACUUAAAUGCUCAGCAUUGUGCCCGGUGUGUGAAUUACAAAGUGGAAAAAGAAACGAAGCCUGUCCUGAGAACUGAGAAGUGUUGUUAACGGGUUUUCCCCAAGCACACAGUUCUUAAUCAUUUUGCUACAGCAGGACAAAAACUGGGAAAGGACUGCUUUCACAGCUAGGGCAGACAUCUGCAAACCAUAGUGACUGAGCCAAUGCCAGCCCUCUGUUUUUGUAAAUAAAGUUUUAUGGGAACAUAGUCAUACUCAUGUGUUGAUGCAUUAUGGCUUCUUUUAUGCUACAAAGGCAAAGUUGAGUGGUUGUGACAGAGAUAGCCUGGUUUACAAAGCCCCAAAUAUUUACUGUCUGGGCUUUUACAAAACAGGUUUUCAAAUCCUUGAUCUAGACAAAGGAACACACAUUUGAAAAUAGAUCCUCCCUCUCUGCCCAGUACCCCGUAUAGGUAGCAAAGCCACAUAAUAGCCAAAGCGGUUACUAAAAGGCCUAGUGCCUGUGGCUUAUAAUUUAGCUUGAAUUUAUGAAUGCUUUUGCUCUAGAGUAAUUCCUUUAAAUGCAUAUCCCAUUUCUUUGGUUUGGUUGUUACAUAUAUAUGCUGAAUGUAUAAUUAUAACUUGGAGUGAGAUUAGUGCACAAUCACCUUACUGUCACCAUGCUAUUAAUUUUCUACACAUUCUAUUAACUCCCUAAUGGUAGCCACGUUGGUUCUCUCCUAUGCCCUAAGUAAUUUGUUGAGCUUCAAUAUAAUGAGAAUCUGGCUGAAUGGGAGAAAAAGGAGUUUCUAAUAUAAGAGCAGACUUAAGGCAAGUUUUGAGUGUUUUCGCUGAGAAUUCAGGAGCCAUUCUGUAAAGUGUAGACUAAGUUCCUAGAACAUCCUAAGACAACUUCUUCACUUGGAAUGUUUUCCACUCUUUCCCUAGUUAAGAGGUAGGAUCAAUGAAUUCCUGGUCCACAGACCCAGAGCCGCUAGGUAAGGGAAAGAGAGGACACUGAAACAUCAGAUGUGCAGUCAAGACUGAAGGAUCACUCCUCAGAGAUGAUGUAUCCCAAGAUGCCUACAGCUCAUAAAGGAGUGACAGAGGAUCUCAUAGGACAAAGAGUCAAGUCCCAAUGGCAAGUGAGUUUAUCCAUCAAUGCCACUUUUUACCAGGAUAUUAUUUUGAGGGAUUAGUCAGGAAAAUGUAGAAUGUGUGGAUGCCAUACUUGAGUUGUAGGAAUGACAGCAGAGGAAUGAGGACCCAAAGAGAUGAGUUCUGUCUUAUGGAUGUCCAGGGACUUGGAUGGCUACUAGAAGCAGUCCUGCCCUGGAAGCCAUUAUACACACACACACACACACACACACACACACACACACACAUCUCUUCCCCUCUUCCCUAUGAAUUUAGACACCCCCACAGACAGAAGGAAGGGAGGGAGGAAAUCAUGCUGUUGAUGAAUACAAGCCCUGAAAAGCUUUCUAAAAUUCUGAAUUGACUGGAUUUAGAUGUAUGUUUAAAUGAGUCUGAAUGAGCGUAAGCUUACCCUGAAUUGACAAAAUUAUGUUUUCCACCAUCAACUAAAGUGACCUCAAGAGCUAAAUUACAUUAGAGAAACUUUGAAAGGUAUGCUAUUGCGCAUACAUUUGUGACUGAGAAAUUCAUGCCAGCCCAGAGAUAACAUCCUUAAAGUUCUCUACUUUUUUCAUUCCUGGCCCAUUAUGAGUGGCUCUAACACAUGCUAAGUCUGACAGCAGAUCUUGUAAUGCUGCAGUGGGGAAGUGUUGGCUGAAUCAUGGUCACAGUACCCCUGCCCAACCUGCUAGGGUCCUGGGCUCCUGCAGUUAAGGGGCUCUUCACUGAACAUGGGCAAGUAAAUACAUUCAAAUGUGACCCAGCCUAAUCCUUUUUUAAGCUUCUAAGACCCCAAAGUCCCGGAACAUCAAGAAAACUCAAAGUAGCUUGUUAAAGGUAUGCAGUGGAAUAUAUAUUUUUUGACAAAGCAAAUGUCAAGAUGUCUUUUCUCCCAUCCAACAGUUUGUGCUUUCUUCUACAAUAGCCCUCAUUGAGCUGCUUUUAAAAACUGUCCGUCUUCUGCCCAUCCCACCUUCAGUAAAAUACAAACUCCUUGAAGAUAUAAGGAGAAGCAGUUUCUUUCAUUGAUGUAGUGUCAGUAUCAAGCCAACUCCUAGAAUCAUGCACAAAAAAACAAAUAACUCUUUGUGACCCCCCCACCAUGAAUCUCCCAAAGCACAGUAAAUAUAGUUUCUUCUUCUCUCUCUCUCUCUUUCCCUUCCUCUCCCUCUUUUUCCUUCUGUCUCUCUCCCUCUUUGUGAUUUUUCCCCCAAAGGACUGCAUAGUCCCAACAUGGAACCCACUAUUUUAAUCAGCAUAGUGACAUGAAAAUAUUGUCUUCCAGUGGGGAAAAUAAGCAAAUUCCUAUUCCUACAUCCUGGGGUGAGUGACAUAAAAUGGUUUGACUGACAAAGCACACAAUUCUGAGAAAGAAGGAGCAGCUUUUCUUCACAGGGUAAGAGCUAUCACACCAAAGCACAGGAGGCAAAGCAUGAGAACACGCUAUAGCUUCCAAAGAAGUUAAGAAGCUAAUACUUGGCAGAUGGGCAAUUCAAGGAUUCUCGUGACCCUUGCAAGACUGGGCAAAGCGUGAGGUACCUGUAGCCUUUGGGUUGGUCUCCUCUGGCUAAGAGUGGCCUAUGCUGUUCAGUGUGCAUCCAGGUAGGUAGUUUAUGUGACUUAUCACAUGAGCAAGGAUAGGAAGCAACGAGAGGUGGCAUACUUCCUACAACCUGUGAAGCUGUCACUACAUGAGUUUUCAUUGGCAUCGGUGGCAUUUGAGAAACUGAGCUCCCAUUUCAUUAUAAUAGUUAGGAUAACAGACUCCAGCCUGGGUAGAAGCUGUGGUCCCAUGGAACAUACUUCCCAUCUGUUUCUGUUUUUCUGUACAGGAAGGGACGUCCUUUGCUAAUAUGUGCUUCCAGCGAAGAGAGUUCUUGUUUGUUAAAGUGUCCUCUGAUGCGCUCACAGCAUGCUGUGAACUGGCUUAUAAAAAGUGUCCUGUCAGUCUUAAUACAACCUCAUAGGUCCUUAUAACCCAGUGUCUCUGGUAUAUAACAGCCUGUGCAGGAAAGGGUUAACUCAGCACGCUUUGGUUGCUUUACUCUGUCUAUUCCUCCUCAUGAAAGAGACCUGUUUUCAGGACUGGCCCUUGGCCAGCUUCUGGGAAAUGCGGCGUGAGCCUUGGAACAUUCUGCCUUAUAACCGUGCUUUUAAGUUGUGUACCUGAGAGCGUGGGCCAGGCUGCACCGAUUUGAAAUUUGUGCUAACAGUGUGAUUGCUGGUGAAUACUUUGUCUUUGCUGAAGUUAGUCAUGGAGAUGUUGCACGCCUACGUGACCGACUUCCCAGGAAAAUGCUAAACACCAAGGUGAGCAUUUCAAGUGAGCAUCCUUGCUUGGCAUCACUUUAUUUUGCUACAUUUUUACCUAAAUUUAACACCCAACUUGACAUUACUUGAAUAUUCUCCAUCAUCUCUGUUAUUUACUUCAGCUUUGGAAUUACAAAUGUAGUUUCCUAGAUUUUUAUUUUUAGUCCUUAGUUUAGGUUAAAAUUUUCCCUCCAAAGCCACUGAAUCCGACUGAGAGAUCUCCUCUUCCUUUGGCUCUGCUCAGUUCCUCGUCAUCAACCUUUUUUUUUUUUUCUUCCCUUGGGACUUUUACCUGCUCUGGCCCUGCCAAUGAGCUUGUGAGCCUUUGGGGAUUAACUUGCCUGUGACCUGUUAAUGUGCUCCUUCAUCCCUGCAGCAAGUUUGACUGUCAAACCAGCACUCUAAAUGUGUUCUUUUUCUAUUUCUACUCACUGUAUAGUUCACUUAUUGUCAACGGGCUACAGUUUUUGUUCUCAAGAUACCUGCUUUUCUACCAUAUAGAGACAAAGAGACAAACAAAAACUAACCACAACAUUCUAAAAACCUAAAUAUAUUUCAGAGUAAGAUUUCUGUAUUUUUCCUGAGACCGUGGCUACUUCAUACUCAAAAUAAAAUCCGGUGUAUUUUCUUCCAAUAUCGCAAUAUUUUUGGGUCUCAAAACAAUAUUGUAUUCAUCAAGGCGCUUUUGCAUGUAACAAUAAAAAAAAAAUCCUACUUAGUAACUGUGUUAGUUUUCUAUUGCUGCUGUUAACACAAUUCCACAAACUCAGCAGCUUAAACGAAUGUGUUUAUCACGCAUCUCUGCAUGUCAGAAGGUUGGGUUGUCUUGACUGGUUUUUCUGCUCUAGGGUCUCCAUAUGCCAGACUCAAAGUGUCAGCCACCUGGGCUCUAACUGGAUGCCUCUGGAGGAGAAUCACUUCAAGGCUGAGUCAGACUGUUGGCAGAAUAUUCCUUUUGGUUGUAGGACUGAGGUGCUUGGUGUGUGUGUGUGUGUGUGUGUGUGUGUGUGUCUGUGUGUGUGUGUGUGUGUGUGUGUGUGUGACAUCUCAGCUGAGGGACAUUCUUACCUCCUAGAGGCCUCUCGAUCUGGUUCUUACAUCUGGGCAUUUCAGCAACUGAAUCCUUCUCACUUUUUAAUCCCUCUGACUUUCCCCUUCUGCUACAUGAAUCUUCUAACUGCAGCUAAAGAAGUUUCUCUGCUUUUAGGAGGUCCUGUGAUUAAAUUAAGUUCAUGUAUAAAAUUCAGGAACAGCUCUGUAUUUUAAGGUCUGUACUCUCUCUCUCUUUUUUUUUUUAAGAUUACUUUGAGAGAUAAAGAGGGAGAGGGAGCUUGUGAGUACAUGUGAGCAGUAGAGGGGCAGAGAGAGGGGGAAAGAGAGAGAAUCCCAAGCAGGCUCUGCACUGUCAGUGCAGACCCUGACAUGGAGCUUGAACUUACAAACCGUGAAAUCAUGACUUGAGACAAAAUUAAGAGUCAAACACUUAACCUACUGAACCAACCAAGCACCCCUUAAGGUCUGUACUCUAAAAACAUCUGCAANGUAUAUAACAGCCUGUGCAGGAAAGGGUUAACUCAGCACGCUUUGGUUGCUUUACUCUGUCUAUUCCUCCUCAUGAAAGAGACCUGUUUUCAGGACUGGCCCUUGGCCAGCUUCUGGGAAAUGCGGCGUGAGCCUUGGAACAUUCUGCCUUAUAACCGUGCUUUUAAGUUGUGUACCUGAGAGCGUGGGCCAGGCUGCACCGAUUUGAAAUUUGUGCUAACAGUGUGAUUGCUGGUGAAUACUUUGUCUUUGCUGAAGUUAGUCAUGGAGAUGUUGCACGCCUACGUGACCGACUUCCCAGGAAAAUGCUAAACACCAAGGUGAGCAUUUCAAGUGAGCAUCCUUGCUUGGCAUCACUUUAUUUUGCUACAUUUUUACCUAAAUUUAACACCCAACUUGACAUUACUUGAAUAUUCUCCAUCAUCUCUGUUAUUUACUUCAGCUUUGGAAUUACAAAUGUAGUUUCCUAGAUUUUUAUUUUUAGUCCUUAGUUUAGGUUAAAAUUUUCCCUCCAAAGCCACUGAAUCCGACUGAGAGAUCUCCUCUUCCUUUGGCUCUGCUCAGUUCCUCGUCAUCAACCUUUUUUUUUUUUUCUUCCCUUGGGACUUUUACCUGCUCUGGCCCUGCCAAUGAGCUUGUGAGCCUUUGGGGAUUAACUUGCCUGUGACCUGUUAAUGUGCUCCUUCAUCCCUGCAGCAAGUUUGACUGUCAAACCAGCACUCUAAAUGUGUUCUUUUUCUAUUUCUACUCACUGUAUAGUUCACUUAUUGUCAACGGGCUACAGUUUUUGUUCUCAAGAUACCUGCUUUUCUACCAUAUAGAGACAAAGAGACAAACAAAAACUAACCACAACAUUCUAAAAACCUAAAUAUAUUUCAGAGUAAGAUUUCUGUAUUUUUCCUGAGACCGUGGCUACUUCAUACUCAAAAUAAAAUCCGGUGUAUUUUCUUCCAAUAUCGCAAUAUUUUUGGGUCUCAAAACAAUAUUGUAUUCAUCAAGGCGCUUUUGCAUGUAACAAUAAAAAAAAAAUCCUACUUAGUAACUGUGUUAGUUUUCUAUUGCUGCUGUUAACACAAUUCCACAAACUCAGCAGCUUAAACGAAUGUGUUUAUCACGCAUCUCUGCAUGUCAGAAGGUUGGGUUGUCUUGACUGGUUUUUCUGCUCUAGGGUCUCCAUAUGCCAGACUCAAAGUGUCAGCCACCUGGGCUCUAACUGGAUGCCUCUGGAGGAGAAUCACUUCAAGGCUGAGUCAGACUGUUGGCAGAAUAUUCCUUUUGGUUGUAGGACUGAGGUGCUUGGUGUGUGUGUGUGUGUGUGUGUGUGUGUGUGUGUGUGUCUGUGUGUGUGUGUGUGUGACAUCUCAGCUGAGGGACAUUCUUACCUCCUAGAGGCCUCUCGAUCUGGUUCUUACAUCUGGGCAUUUCAGCAACUGAAUCCUUCUCACUUUUUAAUCCCUCUGACUUUCCCCUUCUGCUACAUGAAUCUUCUAACUGCAGCUAAAGAAGUUUCUCUGCUUUUAGGAGGUCCUGUGAUUAAAUUAAGUUCAUGUAUAAAAUUCAGGAACAGCUCUGUAUUUUAAGGUCUGUACUCUCUCUCUCUUUUUUUUUUUAAGAUUACUUUGAGAGAUAAAGAGGGAGAGGGAGCUUGUGAGUACAUGUGAGCAGUAGAGGGGCAGAGAGAGGGGGAAAGAGAGAGAAUCCCAAGCAGGCUCUGCACUGUCAGUGCAGACCCUGACAUGGAGCUUGAACUUACAAACCGUGAAAUCAUGACUUGAGACAAAAUUAAGAGUCAAACACUUAACCUACUGAACCAACCAAGCACCCCUUAAGGUCUGUACUCUAAAAACAUCUGCAAAGCCCUUCUGUCACAUAAUAUGUUCACAGCUUGGGGAAUCAGGAUGUGGGCAUCUUGAAGAGUCAUUAGUUUACCUAUGAUGGUGAAUAUAACUCAACCCAUGUAACUGAAAAAGUAUACUGAGUAGAGUAACCUUUAGGGACAGCUAAAUCUAUCACCUCGAAAAUAUCCACAAGACUCUGUGACUCUCCAUUGUGGUAACACUAUUCUUUGAUUUGGCCUCAUUCCUAGGUCUUCCCCACGGAGUGGGGAAGUUGGCCACCAUAAAAUCUCAGCUUACACAAGUUUAGUUAAGAGGUACAUGUGGUGAGUGUUUGUGAGAUGAACAUGGGCAUCUUGUUUUUAGAGGUACUCCCAGCAGGAUGUGAUUUCCUAUCAAAGGAGUUUGAAACAUCUAACUCAUCACCAUAGGCCUAGCAGCAACAGACCUGGAUACCUGAUAUUAGAGCUAUAAUUCUCUACAAGGACAGGAGUUGGAAGAAUAUAGAAAGUGGUACACGUGUAGCUGGAAAUAAAACAGAGCACAGGUACGAUAUUAAAAAUGAUCCAUCUUGUCAUUUACCCUCCACACAACCUAGGAAGCGAAUGUUUUUGACAAGCAUGUAGUCUCAGUUCUUGCACUGAUACCAAAUGAUCAAAGUAAUAAUAUAUUUCUUUCAAGUUCAAAGUUGGGUAGAUUUCAUCUUAGUCACGGCAUUCAUUGUAUUUUAAAAUCUCAACUAACUUUAAAGAAAAGGAUGUGACUUAGCAUAUAUUUUGGCUCCACAUAACAGAAAACAUAACAAGCAAAGUCAACAGUAAGUGUAAGUUGUAGUAUCUAAUAUAACAAAAUGUAUGGAAGUAGAGUAAUUCCAGGGCUGGGUAAGUAAACGUAUAUUCAAAGACACAGGUUCUCCUAUGUCUUAUUUAAUUCUCCAGAGUAGGAACUUGUCUUAGUUUUGUUCUCUUCAAGGUCCUCAGAUGGUUACCUCAGUUCCAGGAAUCACAUGCAGGUAACAAUGUCAAGACAAAAUAAUUUAAAAAAGGAUAUAUCGCUCUCCUGUGGCUCUUUAACAAAUGAGAAAAAUCUUUCCAGGAUUACCCUAACAUUUCAUUGGCCGGAAUUAUGUCAUAUGACCAUACCUCGAUCAAUCAAUUGUCAAGAGAAAGUAGGCCAGUAAUUGGCUACGACCAAUCAAGAUUCUCCCCCAGGCCAAAGCUGCUUUUCCAGAAGUCCACUGACACUCACAGAAUGGUGAACAAAGCCUGCUGUUUGUCAACAAGGAAAAGUAAGGAAAUGACCACUGGAGAGGUGACAUGUGUGCCUCUUCAGAGUGUGAGAAAUAGGGAUGCUUUCAAAUGUUCCAGGGAUAAUAAAAUAUUGAAAAGCAUUAGAUUGGCAACACAGAGCAGCCAGUAUUAGCCUAUCAACGAUCACCCAGCAUUUUUAAACGUAUUGGAAGAAUGAAUGCCUUUCUUUGCAAUCAGAUGACAAAGACUUAGUUUAAACAAACCCAAAGAAUGAAACAGAUCAAAUGUGGCCUUGGAGGAAUAAUGGUCAUCCUAACAAAACAUGGCAUGCGAAAUGUGUGGCUACACAAGAUCCCAACAGCAAAGAUAUUAUUGCCUCACAUGUUCUGCCAAGAUCGACAGGGAGAAUGAACUGCGUAUCAGUGUCAGAAUGCAUGUGCUUGGGUCUUUAUAAAACGGAGAAUAGUAAAAUACAUGUAUUCUUCUCAUGGCAGAGUGUGGUUUAGUCUUCUAGGCUGAAAUUUGUGUUCCACACAUUUUUAGAGUCUGUAUAAAUUUUUUAGUUCAAGAGCCCUUCCAAGUAAUGCUCUCUACAUGUAUAAGCACGUUCUCUAUUGCUAAAUACUUAGGAACUAUGAGACCAUAAAUUCCAGAAGCACAGAGGUGGCAUUUGUGUCGUUCAGUAUGUUAAUUCAGAGCCUUGAUCAGUGCCUGACCCUUAUUGAAGAGAGGGAGGGAGAGGAGGGAAGGAAGGAAGGAAAAAAGGAAGGAGGGAGGGAAGGAAGGAAGGAAGGAAGGAAGGAAGGAAGGAAGGAAGGAAGGAAAGAAGGAAGGAGGAAAGGAAGGAAGAGAAGAAUAAGGGGAGGGGAAAGAAGGGAAGGGGAGAAAAGAGAGGAGAAGAAAAGGGAAGAGGAGAAGGAAAGUAAAAGAAAUUCUGUUGCUCAGAGUGGACAGAAAACAAGCAUACCGAUUUACAGAUGAUUUAACAAGCAUAUCUCUGAUGGGGAAUGUUAACUUGUCCUUUUAACAAACCAGUGAGGAAGAUAGUCUCAAGACUAACAUUCAUUUGACCAUAACUGAUAAAUGAGUUAUCUGAUUGCAGAUAAUUUCAGAAAAUAGUUGAAGCUUUAUUUUCAUUACAAUGGCACAAUUCUUAGAUUUGCAUCUCUGCAUAUAUCCCUGACUCAAGGUUUUUUAAGGUAAAAGUCAUUGGCAUAAAAAACAAAAAUACCCUCAGUGUUACACUUUCUUCACUGUGAACCACCAUUAUUUUCCAUGUGCUCUGCGUGAAUUACAUUCAAUAAAAGUUGUGAUUUAAAAAAAAAAACCCAUAAGGCAUAUGUAAGUUCCAACCAACAUAAUAAAAUCAAUGAAAUUCCAAGCAUGUCUGCGGCUGCAUCCUGAAUUCAUCUCAUCUCCCAAGUGAUACAAUACAAAUGAAAUGGAACACUUCACCCCAUUCUACAAAUUCCCUCUGCAGCCUUUAGAGCAGGAUGAGUUAUGGUGCAGCUGAAAGACUCACCAGCCCAGUGCUUUGUGCAGUGCUUGUUUUGUUACAUGUGACACAUUGGGUCUGGGAGAGUCUGUACUAAAUUAUGGUCUGCUCUAGGUUGGAAGCAGCAAGCGUUUUACAUAGAUCAGUCCUUCUUUGGGAUGGGGUGGGGGUGGGGGUGGGGCAGACUGUGAAUCUUUUCAGGAGCAGAAGCAUCCUACCAGGACUGAGGCUGAGACCACACUGUGCCUGUUGACACGCUGGGCACGUUGCCCGCAUCCAUUCCAUAAAUGUUCUCUUGGCCCCCUUCCUCACAAGCUGAAUGCUGGGAAGUGACAGGUGCAUGAGUAGACCAGGCUGGCUCAGUGUCUGACUGUUUGAACGGCUGGGACUUUCUGUCUGACAGGAUUUACCCAGUCAUGAUGGAUGGUGGCUGGAGCACAGGAAAGAGAAAGGGAAGUGGGAAAGGAAACUAACUGUAUUACACCAUGGGGGUCUGUAAAAUGCCCACCUAUGAAACGAUCUGAGGAGCUCAAUAUCUGACAAGAGUUGAGGGAAUUAAGAGUAAUUUGAUUACAGGUGCUCAACUGGCAUUCAUUUUCCUCUUAUUAUCUGAGAACCCUCCCUCGAGAGAGAACACUAACCUUCAAAAGGAGCAGAUGAAUGGCUCUAUUAAAAGCACUGUAGUUUGUUCAUGGCUCUGUAGCAUCUGACCAUUUUAUGAACCCAGUGGAAUUGUAAAUAGGAAACAGAAGAGAGGAAAUGUCUUCCUCAAACAGUGUACAGAUGACUCUAUCUGUCUUUAGCGAUUUGUAACCCUGAAAGAGAGUUCGUACAUGGAGAGAAUGACGUAGGAUAGUGAUAUCUGCUCCCACCCCCUCUAACCCCUAUCUUGAAUAUAUCCCUUAAAGGUCAGACAUUUCAAAUAUCAUGUUUUGUCAGACUGUGAUGGUUUCUUAUUAAAAAUAAAUAGAUAAAUUACCUAAGGUAGAUGUGCUUGGUUUUAAAUAAUUUGUGCUGAUAUUUUAUAUAUACACUUGGUUCAUUUUAAUUUCAGUUAAAAAUUAACCCUUAGAUUCUUUAUCCCUUCUUUCAAGUACAAUUUCUGUAAUAGUAACAUUUAUGAAUGAAACAUAUUUUACCCAAAUAAUUCAUAAGUACAUAAACCCCACUGGUUUACCUCUUACGAACCCAUAUGGCAAUACCAACUUUCCUUCCACUAGUAAAAAACAAGAUGAAUAAAAGUGAUCUAAAGCCAUGUCUCCGAUGUGAGUAUUACUCUUGUCUCAUUUAAUCUUUACUUAGAAAAAUAAACUAAAUGGUUCAUUGGUGUCAUGACUUGUUUAUUAGCUUACUUCUGGUUGUCACUGAAGAAGAUAACACUAAUAUCUAUAUCUUGCCAAUGGGACUAAGACCUUGGAUACUAAUCUGUAACAUAUAUAGAAGAAUUCUCAAAGAUUCAGAAACUCAGGAACAAUAAUUCAUGGGAGAUAUAAAUAACUGUGUGAGCUCAUUUAUUCUUUUAAAGAAAUCUGAGCUGGGGAUAAAAACGAAUGCAUUAAAAUCCUGAUAAUAGGAAUCUCACAGGAAAGUUUCUCUCUUUUGACAAAAUUUGUUAACUGAACAUAAACUAUAAAACAUCAUUUAAAUAUACAAAUUACAAAAUCUGCUGUCAAAGUGUAUUUUACACACACCAAAAAUAUUAAUACCAAAAGGUAGCAACUGUAUCAAAAAAAUUUCAGCUUGAGUCUAUUUAGUAAUUUUACUACUCUAAAAACAACUUUUGAAACUUCCUGGAACUUCUUAAGAGUUUGUAAUAUUUCCUUCAAAACAUUAUGGAAAUAUCCAAAAGCCAUUUUUUCGUGAGUUUCAGUACUGCCUCGGCCUCUGUGCUCAGAGUCUAGAGUCUGCUUUGGAUUCUGUGUCUCCCUAUCUCUCUGCCCCUCUCUCCCUCGCACUCUGUCUCUCUCUCCUCUCACUCUCUCUCUCUCAAAAAUAAACAUGAAAAAAUUUAAAAAAAUAAUCUGUGUUCAUAACAUGAAUUCCAAAAGUAUUUUCAUCAUUUAUUAAAAUUGCAAACUGUGUAAUAACUUUUAAAUAAUCAUUACUUGUCAUAUUUGUAUGACAUGCACAUGAGUUUUCAUGGUAACAAAUAUAUACAGUUAGGUCUUUAUGAUUCAUGCUAAUAUGAGAUUAUAAGUGGAUAAUUAUUUAAUUCAAUAGGCCACAUAAUCUUAAAACUAUAAAUGUUAGAUUAUUUUUCCAAGCUACUUAAAAAUUUACUACCAUAAAAGUCUACCAUAGCAAUUUACUAUGAACCAAAUGGUGGGAUUAACAGUAUGUUUUCUUCACUAUAAAUACUUCUAAUAAAAGUUGACUAACAUUUAGUGAUUAUGUACUGUUGUGUCCAGCACAAGAGAAAGGUUUUCAUCUCAUUAUCAUAUUUACUUCUCAUACUAUACAAUCAUUGCCUUCAUUUUACAGGAGAGAAAAGCAAGGCUUAAAGAGAUUAAGAAACUUGCCCAAGGAUUUAGGAGACUGUUUAACAACCAUAAAGGCCUUUAUCCUCACUGUACAACUGAUCAUUCUCGGUUUCUCAUGGGAAACAAAUGAAAUCAAUGCAUUGUGACUGGUCUUCUCUUCUAAAGAAAGUCACACAAAGAUCUGCAUCUUCCUUAGAAGAGUGAAAAUUUUCAUUUUCAUGAUUGUGAGUGGAACUUUUUUUUUUUUUAAUUUUUUUUUUUUAACGUUUAUUUAUUUUUGAGACCGAGAGAGACAGAGCAUGAACAGGGGAGGGUCAGAGAGAGGGAGACACAGAAUCUGAAACGGGCUCCAGGCUCUGAGCUGUCAGCACAGAGCCCGAUGCGGGGCUUGAACUCACGGACCGCGAGAUCAUGACCUGAGCCGAAGUCGGCCGCUUAACCGACUGAGCCACCCAGGUGCCCCGUGAGUGGAACUUCUAAACCUUACAAUUUUUUACAGAGGAAAAAAAUCUCUGUUCAAAAAAAGUGAAGGUUUGUAGUUUAAGAUUUUUACUAAAAAUGAGAGUGACUUAUCUACUAGACCUGCCUCAAAUGAGGAAAAAGGAGUAAUUUGUUGGCAUUACUGACAUUCAGUUCUGUCCCAGGCAAGGUUACAAAAGGGCCAGCAUACCCUCUACCUUGAAAGCAAGUGACCUUCCACAGGCAAUAUUCUGCAUGUCCCCAACCCCUAAAAGGCUGGUGACAGGUAUACAAUUUAAAUGACUUCUCAUAAGUACGGAGCUGAACCUAGAGUAGAAAUACUAGAAUGUUGUGGCACCUGUGAGGCUCAGUAGGUUAAGCAUCUGACUUCGGCUCAGGUCAUGAUCUCAUGGUUCAGGAGUUCGAGUCCUGCAACAAGCUCUGUGCUGACAGCUCAGAACUUGGAGCCUGCUUCGGAUUUGUGUCUCCCUUGCUCUCUGUCCCUCCCCCCGUCACUUGCACACAUGUGCUCUCUCUCUCUCUCUCUCUCUCUUUCAAAAAUAAACAAACAUUAAAAAAAUUAUGUAUAUAUAUAAAAGGAAAAACCUGAAUCUUGAAUCUUGUAAUGUUUUGGUGGGGGGGAGGGGAUGGCAAAUAAAGUCUUGGUAUUCAAAAAAUGUCUAACUUUUUUGCUCAUUUAAAGGAAAGGAAGUUCAAUCUUGCCUCCCAAAUGGAAUCAUUUCCACCUUUGUCCAGAACCUAAAAAUCCAAGCUCAUCAACAAGUUGAAGGGCAUACCUGGAGGUGAACUUGUAGAAUCUGACUCCAGGCUGACAUUCUCCAUGCCUGUGCUCCCACAACUUUUCUCUGACAGUACAGUCAGAUAGCUAUUAUUGUUUCCAUUUCUGAGUAACAGGUGACAUUUAUAAACAUCAAAUAAUUUGCUGUUUUUACCCACUUAUUAAAUGAGGAUACAUGGAUUCCAGCCCAGCUUUUCAGAGUCCAAUCUACCACAGAGUCUCUGGUUAGCCAUCUGGUAAUAGAGAAUUGACACUUCUUUGGUUUUUAUUAUAUAUCAAGCUCUGUGCUGUAUGUUUUACAUAGGUUAUUGGUACCUGUUUAAAACAAACAAAUAAACCUUGGGAAUUAUUAUAAAUCCAUUUUAUGCAAAAGGAAACUGAAAAUCAAACAAGAAAUUUUUCAAGGUCACCCAAAUAAAGUCAUGAGGCCACAAUACAAAAACAAUACAGAAGAUAACAUUGAGCAUUGUCUGCUUACCCAAAAUCUCAGCUUUGCUCUACAACUCACCACAGCUCCUGGCAUAUACUUGCAAAAUGAAAAACAAAACAAAACAAAAUUUAUACAAAAAUGAAAGGCUAAUAUAAGAGUAAAGGCCCACAACAAUAAAACGUUCAAGACUAAGGAAGUAAAAAUUCUUUUAAAAAAAUUAUAAAGAUCUACAGGAUUUUCAAGAAUAAUAAAAUUCAAAGAAAUGUAACAGUAUCCCAAACAAUGGAUAAAAUUAUGACCACUCUGAUAUGUCCCUUGGAAAAUUUCAGUCACGCAAAACAACUUGAGUUUGGAAAUUAAUUUUAUCUACAUUUUAGUGCCUUGCUCUGAAAGGAAAGUCAAUAAGUAGAAUAUUAUUCUGGGCUAUCACACACACAGAUACCAAGUAAAUGUGCACUCAAAUUCAUGUAUACAUUCCGUUAUAUUUUGUUUACUAUUUACAUGAAACAUCUAAAUUUAUAUGAUCAGUGAAUAAUCAAAGAGUGCAUAUUGUGGCAGAGAUAGUUGCUGCUCACCAAAUAUCCAUGAGCUCUUUAAGAUUCCCUAGAUCUCAAGCAGUAUGUGCACUCAUGUGACUAGAUUCAGCCAAAGAACUCUGAACAGAAUGGAUGGGCGCCACUUGUAAGUCAAAGCAUGGAAGAGAAGGUAUGAUUUCUUCAUGUACUCUCUUUUCCUGCCACAGCCACUGGUAAUGUUCCAGAUGACAGACUUUUAGUCAAAGCCUGAAAAAUUAGUUUGGACUUAGAUUCUAUUUUUUUUAAUGUUUAUUUGUUUACUUUGAGAGAGAGAGAAAGCAUGAGCCAGGGAAGGACAGAGGGAGGGAGAGGGUGAGGGUGCAGGAGAGGGAGAGGGAGAGGGAGGGAGGGAGGGAGAGAGAGAGAGAGAGAGAGAGAAUCCCAAACAGACUCCAUACUAUCAGCACUGAGACUGACAUGGGGCUCUGUCUCACAAACCAUGAGAUCAGGACCUGAGCCAAAAUCAAGAGUUGGACGCUUAACAGAAUGAGCCACCCAGGCAUCCCUUGACUUAGAUUCUAAUAGAAAAUGCAAGCUCUGCUGAAAAGCACGAAGUUCUUCAUACUAUUUUUCCAUAUCCUUGAAGUGCCUCAUUGACUAUAUAAGGUACUUCCAUCCAGGUAGUCAUUUUCACCAGUAGUUUUCUGUCAGAAUUAACUACUUAAAAAGAGAGAUGCUUAGGCUGACUUGAGAUUUGGUGAAUUGGUAAGGCCAUGAUUUCGGACUCAUGGAGAAGGAAAGAUAAUCCUAGCAUACCACUUGGCCAUUCCAUGAACAAAAUUUACAUAGUUAUAAUAAUGUAAAAACUAUCUGUUUUUUCCCUUUUUAGAAUAUAUAGCCAAGACAUAUGAGACAUAAUGAUGAUGACAGAUGACCGUGUGAAUGUUGUCAACUUUGAAAAUGUAGAAGAUAGAUAUCUUAAGUAGAGACAGGAGGUAAAAGGGAAGGUAAUAUAUUCAUGUUACAGUGUGGAGAGUAAAUAAAUAAGUAAUGCCUGAAUUUGUACAUCAAGAGGCAGAGUAGACUGUACAUAAAGAUACAAAUGGGACCAACAAAACAUGUACCCAUCACAGUAGGGUAAGUGGAGACAUAGAGAACUUUAAGUCAGGUUGAAAUUCUCCCAUUCCAUUUUGGAAAGUCAUUUUAUUUUUUAACUAAGAAAUUGCAGUUUGGGGCUCCUGGGUGGCUUAGUUGGUUAAGCGUUUGGCUUUGGCUCAGGUCAUGAUCUAACGGUUCGUGGGUUGGAGCCGGUUGAGUGUCUGGUUUCAGCUCAGGUCAUGAUCUCAUAGUUCGUGAGUUCAAGCCCCAUGUCAGGCUCUGUGCUAACAGCUCAGAGCCUGGAGCCUGCUUUGGAUUCUGUGUCUCCUUCCCUCUCUGCCUCCCUCCACUCAUGCUCUCUUUCUCAAAAAUAAAUGAACAUUAAAAAAUUAAAAAAAAAAAACCUAAGUUGCAUCUUGCAUUUGAUUUGAAAUUCUGGAAGUAACCUGAAACACUAAGUACAGAAGUGGUUUAGAUUACUGAUGCGAAAGAGACAUGAGCUGAGGAAUGACAAGACAGGGAUUGUUAUUUUUCAUUCAUGGUCCUUUCAUAUAAUUUGGGAUUUUCCACAUAUAGCAAGUAUAUUUUGAUUAAAUGACAAACAAAAUUACAAAUAUAAAUGCUACCAUGUAUGCUUCACAUCUCAACAGGAGAAUGAAUCAGAUACUGUGCAACAGAUAUGAGUAAAUUAAACGGUUUUUCACGGGCUACCUCUGUGAGCGAGGUCCCCAGAGCUGUGAGAAUGUAGCCCAGACAAGGUGACGCCAAUAGUUAGAGAAACAGCAAAGACUAUAUAGUUCCUUAACUUCCCAAAUCGUCCUCUUGUUAUACACAAAUACACUUAAAUCUCACAAAUUCUUGGUUGUACGUGGUAAGGAAGAAAACUACAUUAUUCAAAAUUGCGUAAUUGCCUUGGUUUGGGCUCCCCAGGGUACAGAGCCUGAAACAGCUUAUCCGGGAAGCAGGAUUGUCAGGGGGUGGAUGGGGGUGGGUACAGAAAGGAGGAAAGGCUGCCACUAACAUGCACUACUGAGACAGCCCUGGCGGACGACAAGGGCUCAGUUCCAGCAGAUCUUCCCAGGAAGUGAACAAAAUGCUUUCCAGAAUGGUCGGCCUCAAAUUCAGGGAGCUGCAGAAUUUGUCCCCAGAUGACCUUUCUGUUGAUUGAGGGUUGUCGUGAGGCACUAACUUCCUCUCACCUCAGGGAUGAGCUUGCACACCCAGGGCUGUGGCCUGCAUGCUCAGGUAACUACAGAGAAAACCCUAGGUCAGAAAUCAUGAGGACAGAUACUGAAUGUUUGGUGGGACUUUGUCAGGGCACUGAAGGGUCCACCAUAGCUCUGGCUGAAAUGAGAGGUUCAAGAGGGGAUGUAAUAUGACAUAGGGUAACAGAGGCAUCUACUAAAGCACUGUAGUAAAUAAAAGCACUUGCCUUUGGCAUGAUUUAGAAUGAUUUAUAGCCAAUUCUGCCACAUCUCUAUUCCAGAAUACAUGUCACAAAAUAAAUUGUCAGACAUUUAAGUUGCUCUUAUAUUUAAGUAGUCCAUUAUAAAAAGGGGGUGGCAUCACUUUUAUGUUUGUCUACUAGUAAUUGGAAAUCUCUUGAGAUAUUACUUUUCUAUGUAUAUUGUGAACUGAAUUUCCCUUGCAUGCCCAUUACAGACAUAUGGCUAUCCUGAAGAUAAGCACACAAAUUUCACAAGCUCAUAUUUCUUUUGUGACACUCUACUCUUCCCACAGGCUAUGUUAGUCUAGUAAUAAAGCAAAUAGUGCUUUACUAAAUGUUAUUCACACUGAUUAUGUAGUUAUCCACUAACUGGCCUUUGACACACAUUCUCGUACCUUUUAUACUCAUUGCAUAGAAUGUCAUACACACACACAUCACAUAUUUUAUGGGCCAGUUUAAUAUGCUCACAUAAGUGGAUGUUCAUAUGGAAGUUAAACCUAUCUACAAACAGACCAUAAAGCUAUACUGCACUCAUACAGGGUGUUGUUUUAAGCUUUUAGGAAUUUUUUUUUUUUUGUGAAGUCUGGGAGUGAAUAUGUUCUUCUUUACUAGAAAUAAAUUCCUAUUAUAGAAAAUACAACUUCAAAGAAUAUUUCUAUAUUUAAAAAAAGUACUUUCCAUGUACAUAGCAAGGGCAGGAGGGAGGCUAUAAUUACUGUGCUUUAGAAACGUAAUUAACAAAUAAUGAAAGCCUGCUCUUCUGAAUGCAUGAGACCAUCAGUCAUCAGAGUCUUUGCCAUGAUUUCUUUUUUUCCUUCCUCACUAGGGCUGACAGAAGGGCCAGGUUUGUCCAACUCAGCUUCUUUUCCUAUGACCAAUAGCAAAGCCAGUGUCAGACGAGCUGGAGCCUAAGCUCCUUUCCAGAUUUAACAUUCUGUCCUUCCAUUCUUUAUUGAUGAGGUGGUUGGCUAGAGUCAGAGUCAAAAAUCUAUCCGGACCAAAUACAGAAAAAUCAGUAGCCUAUCCAGUAACUGCAUUUGCUGCCUCACUAGCAUCACAUCACCAACAGCACAGACUUACUGGAUACAAAAUGGAAACAUCCAAAACUUACUUUUACUUAUUUUUAUUUGAAGUAUUGUUGACAUACAAUGUUGUAGGAGUUCCACGUGUACAACAUAGUGAUCUGACGAUUCUAUGCACACCACAAUGUUCCCCAAGGUAAGCAUAGUUAACGUCCAUCACCCUAUGAUGUUAUUACAAUAUUAUUGACUAUAUUCCCUUGAUAGGUCAUUUGUUCUGCCACAGAUCCAUCAAGACUCUGUAUCCAGUAUCAUUUUGGCAAAUACAAGUUUCAAGCAGAGUAGUAUCAUAUACUUAUCUAUCCUACUGAAAUGUGAUACUUUCGACUAUGAAGUUUGAGCUUUCUUAGUGUUUUAAAUUAUCACUUAUAUUUUUAAAAUAUUUAUGGGGCGCCUGGGUGGCUCAGUUGGUUGAACGACGGACUUCGGCUCAGGUCAUCAUCUCACGGUGUGUGAGUUGGAGCCCCGCGUCGAGCUCUGUGCUGACAGCUCAGAGCCUGGAGCCUGCUUCUGAUUCUGUGUCUGCCUCUCUCUCUGCCCCUCCCCCACUCAUGCUCUGUCUCUCUGUCUCAGAAAUAAAUAAACAUAAAAAAAAAAUAAAAAAAUAA